CUUGGAAAAUGGAGCCGAAGAAGGACGUGAUUACCUGCGAAAAGUCUGGGGGAGCUGGAAGUAAGCUGCGAUCCCGGAAUGUCCGAAUGGGGAAACCUAACAUGAUUUAUCUCAUGUUAUCUAUAAGUGAAUACAUAGCUUAUAAGAAGGGAACCUAGGGAACUGAAACAUCUUAGUACCUAGAGGAAAAGAAAAUAAUAAUGAUUCUGUUAGUAGUGGCGAGCGAACACGGAACAGGCCAAACCGUUCUACGGGGCGGGGUUGUAGGACUUUUGUUAGAGUUACAAAGUUAUUGUAUAGUAGAAGCUAUUGGGAAGUAGCGGCAUAGAGGGUGAUACCCCCGUAUACGAAAUGCAAUAACCUCGAGAAAGUAUCCUGAGUACGGCGAAACACGUGAAAUUUUGUCGGAAUCUGCCAAGACCACUUGGUAAGCCUAAAUACUACCAUUUUACCGAUAGUGAACCAGUACCGUGAGGGAAAGGUGAAAAGCACCCCGAGAGGGGAGUGAAAGAGAUCCUGAAACCAUAUGCUUACAAGAAGGUAGAGCCCGUUAAUGGGUGAUACCGUGCUUUUUGUAGAAAGAGCCGGCGAGUUACUAUUGCAUGCGAGGUUAAGUCGAUAUAGAUGGAGCCGUAGUGAAAGCGAGCCUUAAUAGGGCGUUUAGUAUGCAGUAGUAGACACGAAACCGGGUGAUCUAGCCAUGAGCAGGUUGAAGUUAGGGUAAAACCUAAUGGAGGACCGAACCAGUAUUCGUUGAAAAGACUUUGGAUGACUUGUGGCUAGCGGUGAAAUUCCAAUCGAACCCGGAGAUAGCUAGUUCUCCCCGAUAUAUCUUUAAGGAUAGCGUUAUGUGAAUUGUUGUGGAGGUAGAGCACUGAAUCUAUGAUGGCUGCACCUAGCGGUACUGAUUAGAAUUAAACUCCGAAUGCCAUAACUUGUGCAUAGCAGUCAGAACAUGGGUGAUAAGGUCCAUGCUCGUGAGGGAAACAGCCCAGAUCGUCAGCUAAGGUCCCUAAGUGUAAACUAAGUGUGUAAGGAUGUGGAACUGCACAGACAGCUAGGAUGUUGGCUUAGAAGCAGCCAUCAUUUAAAGAGUGCGUAACAGCUCACUAGUCGAGUGAUUCUGCGCCGAAAAUGUACCGGGGCUUAAGUUUACCACCGAAGCUACGGAUUGUACGCAAGUACAGUGGUAGGGGAGCGUUCCAAGGGUGAUGAAGUCAGACCGUAAGGACUGGUGGAGCGCUUGGAAGUGAUUAUGCCGGCAUGAGUAACGUUUGGAAGUGAGAAUCUUCCAUGCCGUUUGACCAAGGUUUCCUGGGCAAGGUUCGUCCACCCAGGGUUAGUCAGGACCUAAGACGAGGCCGACAGGCGUAGUCGAUGGACAACAGGUUGAUAUUCCUGUACCAGUUAAUUAGUGAUGGAGUGACGGAGAAGGAUAGUAUAUCCCGGGUGCUGGUUGUCCCGGGCUAAGCACAAAGACGGCAACAUUGGCAAAUCCGUGUUGUAUUAACGUUGAAGUGUGAUGGGGAGUGAACGGUUCGCCUAGUAACGAAGUAUAUGACUCCACGCUUCCAAGAAAAGCUUCUAACAUUAAUAAUUAACUGCCUGUACCUAGAACGAACACACGUGGUCAAGGAGAAAAUCCUAAGGCAAGCGAGAUAACUGUAGCUAAGGAACUCUGCAAAAUAACUCCGUAACUUCGGAAGAAGGAGUGCUCAUCUUUGAUGAGCCGCAGUGAAGAGGGAGGGGCAACUGUUUAACAAAAACACAGCUCUCUGCUAAGUCGCAAGACGAUGUAUAGGGGGUGACACCUGCCCAGUGCCGGAAGGUUAAGAGGAGAAGUCAGCGCAAGCGAAGCUUUGAAUUGAAGCCCCGGUGAACGGCGGCCGUAACUAUAACGGUCCUAAGGUAGCGAAAUUCCUUGUCAGGUAAAUUCUGACCCGCACGAAAGGUGUAAUGAUCCCUUCGCUGUCUCGGCUGCAGACUCGGUGAAAUUUUAGUACCGGUGAAGAUGCCGGUUACCCGCAACUAGACGGAAAGACCCCGUGGA
rnacentral:rRNA from 1 species